rnacentral:lncRNA from 1 species
UAUCAUAAACUUGUAAAUCACUUAUGUAUAAAUGUGUUAAUGGGUUAUUCUCACUUGAGUUUUGCAUCAUUGUUAUAAUAGUUAUGCAUCACAAGUUGCAUAUCACUAUACCAAUAAUUGUGCAUAAGGGGGUCAAUAGUUGUGCAUCAAUGUGUUAACCGAUGCUUUAUCUUUAGAUACACAAAAGCAUCAUUCUACUACACUAAAUUUAACAUUAUGCUAACCUUUUAGUGGGGAGUUGAAUUGCAUAGAAAGGGUUGAGCACG